CGCCAGGUACACCUUGGUCUAGCGUUCAUUUUACGUGGACAGAGCUGGAGACACAUGGAGGACGGCCAUGGUUGGUUCUUGUGAUAAGGCAGAAGCUGCUAACAUUAGUGGGCUGUCCUGGUGGUGUGUGCUGGACCGCGUCAAGGUUGAUGUGCAAACUUGUAAUCUUCAGUGUCCCAUGUGGAGUCAGAGAAAGUACUGGAAAAUGUAAGUGCUGUAAAAAUGUGCAUUCAACAUUCUACAGUUAUUGAAGUGGGUUUCAGUUGAAGCAUUGAUUUGUUUCAUUGUGUUUGGUUUCUGUGUAUAUCCAGAGCUCACUGCCAUAUUUUAUUCCAUUAUUCCCUCAUUAUAUUUCCAAAUGUAACUGCCGGAUCAUGUACCUGUAGGUUUUAGAAUCUUUGUGUGACAUGUGCCCGUUCCAAAUGAGUUUUUGUUUUUUGCGGGGGGGGGGUUUUGUGUGUGUGUGUGUGUGGCAUCAAAUUAUAAACAUUUGCCAAUCUGCUCACACUAGUCAUUGAAGGAUGAAAAGUUGCAUUUUUUUCCCCUAACUUAUUUAAAAUGAGCUCCCAUUUACACUCACACAGUGUUACGAGUAAAGUGUCUGAUCUCGUAAAGUGUCUGAUCUCGUAGUGUCUGAUCAGCUCUCUGCUGCUCAGAUUAAAGAUACUGUGUGUGGAUUUUUGAAAACUGCAAGAAACACUCUCCAUCCAGUGUAAAUUUGUAUUUCACAUUAUUUAUGGCUAAUAUAUAACAAAUAUGAAAUCUAACUAAAUUAAAUAUGAAGUGUGCAUCAUAAAUUAAAUUGUCUCAAGUUGUGGCCCUUACAAUAGAUAAAAAACACACACAUUACAAAUCUUGAAUUUUAUUUUGCUUCACUAACAAAUUUCCAGCCAAUUUUGAACAUGCAAAAAGAACAACUAGAUCCAAAAGCACCUGUGCCCCUAGCAUCAUGUAUUUAAUUUUGCUUACAUUGCAUUUUUCUAUUAUUAAACUACAUAAUAGACACACUUUGCUGUCAUGGCAUCAUGUGCCACCUUUCUUAGCACAUUUGAGGAGCUCCUGAAAUUAGCAGCUCUAUGGAUUGAAGUUGAUGCUGCCUUGAGGUGCUGGGACUCACAUUUUGAAUACCUAGUGUGUCCCAAGACUCAGUGGCCAAUACCUCGAGUGCAAACCCUAAUGAGUAACAAAAUUCUAACGCAUGUUUCCAGCUGGAGAGAAGAAUCCUUGAAAAUAUGAAGGUGCUGAGUAAAACUGAGCUGCAGAUCGCUGAAGGAGUUCUGCAAAAACACUUACUGAAGAGUUUUCAGGUAAACAGCUGCAAUUAACCUUGGACUUGUGGCAA